AUGGACCAGUCGGGCAGCAUUGUGCUCUUCCGGGGAAAGGUCUACCUCCAUCCUGAGAAGAUAGUAGACCUGGUUAGAAGCGCCUUGCCGCCUGUGCUCGAGAUAGAGAAUGAUGCGAGAAGGGAAGAGUUUGAGCUACUGAAGAAAAAGAAAGGAGAGAUCGAUCGGCAGGCGUGCAAGCAAGUGAGGCGAAUCCUGUGGUCAGGCUUCUGGUUCGUGCAAGCCACGGUCGGCCUUUGCUUCCGUUUCACAUUCUGGGAGUUCACGUGGGACGUUGUAGCGCCGAUCACCUUCUUCGUGGCUGGCGCCCACCUGCUUUCCGGCUACGCCUAUUUCCUCAUCACCUCGCGCAACCUGUCAUAUCGAACCUACAUGGAGAGGCUGUUUAAAAUAAGGAGGAGAGCGCUUUGCACAAAGCAUGAUUUUGACAUAGAAAGGUACCUGGAAAUGGAGAGGCACAUGAGGUGUCCUCUGGGAGGUGAUUAUUCUCAAGCUGCUACCAAAGCGAUCUUCGGAGAAAUCGAGCGACGGAUGCAGGACGGGGUGAUCAGCCAUGGCGAGCCUCUCGGUGCGUUGAUGGAGAGCGGCCUCACGCCCACGGAGGCGGAGGCACUCGUGCAGAAGAUGGACGAGAUGAGCUUGGUGCUGCUCGUCAGGGGAAAGACCUACCUCAACCACAAGAAGAUUGCGGACCUGAUCAGAAGGGCCGUGCCAUUUGCACUCGCCCCAGAGGAUGACGCGAGGAAAGAAGAGUUCAGACAACUCCAGAUGAAGAUGCAAGAGAUCGACGACAAGGCGCGCAGGCAUGCCGUGCGGAUUCUAUGUGUUGGCUUCGCGUCAUUCAUACUCCAGUUUGCCCUCUUCUUCCACCUUACGUUCUGGGAGUUCUCUUGGAGUAUCAUGGAGCCGCUCGCCUACUUCUUGGCCGGACUCCAGCUGAUUUUCUGCUACGGCUAUUUCCUGCGUACCGCAAGUAAUCCGACGUUACAGGACUUCAAGCAUAGGCUGUUCUUGGCAAGGAGGAGAAAGCUAUGUGCAAAGCUUAGUUUUGAUAUGGACAGGUACCUGAAUUUGCAGAAACACUCUAGGGAUCCUCCGGAAGGUGGUUGUGGAUCUCAAGAUCAAGAUCGUAAGCAUUAUGACUUGUAG
rnacentral:rRNA from 1 species